CUACGGGUGGCUGCAGUCGAGAAUCUUCGGCAAUGGACGCAAGUCUGACCGAGCGAUGCCGCGUGCGGGAUGAAGGCCUUCGGGUUGUAAACCGCUGUCAGUUGGGAGGAAGGCUCCGUGAAGAGCGGAGUUUGACCUAUCUUCAGAGGAAGUCCGGGCUAAGUUCGUGCCAGCAGCCGCGGUAACACGAACCGGACGAACGUUAUUCGGAAUUAUUGGGCUUAAAGGGUGCGUAGGCGGUGCGGUAAGUGAGGUGUGAAAGCCCACGGCUCAACCGUGGAAUUGCGCUUCAUACUGCCGUGCUAGAGGGAGACAGAGGUAAGCGGAACUGAUGGUGGAGCGGUGAAAUGCGUUGAUAUCAUCAGGAACACCGGUGGCGAAAGCGGCUUACUGGGUCUCUUCUGACGCUGAGGCACGAAAGCUAGGGUAGCGAACGGGAUUAGAUACCCUCGUAGUC
rnacentral:rRNA from 1 species